AGCUCGAUGAGUAGGGCGGGACACGUGGUAUCCUGUCUGAAUAUGGGGGGACCAUCCUCCAAGGCUAAAUACUCCUGACUGACCGAUAGUGAACCAGUACCGUGAGGGAAAGGCGAAAAGAACCCCGGCGAGGGGAGUGAAAAAGAACCUGAAACCGUGUACGUACAAGCAGUGGGAGCACAGAGCAAUCUGUGUGACUGCGUACCUUUUGUAUAAUGGGUCAGCGACUUAUAUUCUGUAGCAAGGUUAACCGAAUAGGGGAGCCGAAGGGAAACCGAGUCUUAACUGGGCGUUAAGUUGCAGGGUAUAGACCCGAAACCCGGUGAUCUAGCCAUGGGCAGGUUGAAGGUUGGGUAACACUAACUGGAGGACCGAACCGACUAAUGUUGAAAAAUUAGCGGAUGACUUGUGGCUGGGGGUGAAAGGCCAAUCAAACCGGGAGAUAGCUGGUUCUCCCCGAAAGCUAUUUAGGUAGCGCCUCGUGAAUUCAUCUCCGGGGGUAGAGCACUGUUUCGGCAAGGGGGUCAUCCCGACUUACCAACCCGAUGCAAACUGCGAAUACCGGAGAAUGUUAUCACGGGAGACACACGGCGGGUGCUAACGUCCGUCGUGAAGAGGGAAACAACCCAGACCGCCAGCUAAGGUCCCAAAGUCAUGGUUAAGUGGGAAACGAUGUGGGAAGGCCCAGACAGCCAGGAUGUUGGCUUAGAAGCAGCCAUCAUUUAAAGAAAGCGUAAUAGCUCACUGGUCGAGUCGGCCUGCGCGGAAGAUGUAACGGGGCUAAACCAUGCACCGAAGCUGCGGCAGCGACGCUUAUGCGUUGUUGGGUAGGGGAGCGUUCUGUAAGCCUGCGAAGGUGUGCUGUGAGGCAUGCUGGAGGUAUCAGAAGUGCGAAUGCUGACAUAAGUAACGAUAAAGCGGGUGAAAAGCCCGCUCGCCGGAAGACCAAGGGUUCCUGUCCAACGUUAAUCGGGGCAGGGUGAGUCGACCCCUAAGGCGAGGCCGAAAGGCGUAGUCGAUGGGAAACAGGUUAAUAUUCCUGUACUUGGUGUUACUGCGAAGGGGGGACGGAGAAGGCUAUGUUGGCCGGGCGACGGUUGUCCCGGUUUAAGCGUGUAGGCUGGUUUUCCAGGCAAAUCCGGAAAAUCAAGGCUGAGGCGUGAUGACGAGGCACUACGGUGCUGAAGCAACAAAUGCCCUGCUUCCAGGAAAAGCCUCUAAGCAUCAGGUAACAUCAAAUCGUACCCCAAACCGACACAGGUGGUCAGGUAGAGAAUACCAAGGCGCUUGAGAGAACUCGGGUGAAGGAACUAGGCAAAAUGGUGCCGUAACUUCGGGAGAAGGCACGCUGAUAUGUAGGUGAAGCGACUUGCUCGUGGAGCUGAAAUCAGUCGAAGAUACCAGCUGGCUGCAACUGUUUAUUAAAAACACAGCACUGUGCAAACACGAAAGUGGACGUAUACGGUGUGACGCCUGCCCGGUGCCGGAAGGUUAAUUGAUGGGGUCAGCGCAAGCGAAGCUCUUGAUCGAAGCCCCGGUAAACGGCGGCCGUAACUAUAACGGUCCUAAGGUAGCGAAAUUCCUUGUCGGGUAAGUUCCGACCUGCACGAAUGGCGUAAUGAUGGCCAGGCUGUCUCCACCCGAGACUCAGUGAAAUUGAACUCGCUGUGAAGAUGCAGUGUACCCGCGGCAAGACGGAAAGACCCCGUGAACCUUUACUAUAGCUUGACACUGAACAUUGAGCCUUGAUGUGUAGGAUAGGUGGGAGGCUUUGAAGUGUGGACGCCAGUCUGCAUGGAGCCGACCUUGAAAUACCACCCUUUAAUGUUUGAUGUUCUAACGUGGACCCGUAAUCCGGGUUGCGGACAGUGUCUGGUGGGUAGUUUGACUGGGGCGGUCUCCUCCUAAAGAGUAACGGAGGAGCACGAAGGUUGGCUAAUCCUGGUCGGACAUCAGGAGGUUAGUGCAAUGGCAUAAGCCAGCUUGACUGCGAGCGUGACGGCGCGAGCAGGUGCGAAAGCAGGUCAUAGUGAUCCGGUGGUUCUGAAUGGAAGGGCCAUCGCUCAACGGAUAAAAGGUACUCCGGGGAUAACAGGCUGAUACCGCCCAAGAGUUCAUAUCGACGGCGGUGUUUGGCACCUCGAUGUCGGCUCAUCACAUCCUGGGGCUGAAGUAGGUCCCAAGGGUAUGGCUGUUCGCCAUUUAAAGUGGUACGCGAGCUGGGUUUAGAACGUCGUG
rnacentral:rRNA from 1 species